CAACUAUUUUACUGUAUAAAAAUGAUAUUUUCAUAAAUAUAACUUAAAACCAGCAGGAGCACAACUCAAAAGCGUAACGGUACCGCGAUUUAAGAUUUUCCGGAAUAAUUCUUACAUUAUUUUAUAGUUUGUCAUUUUUACACCUUUACCAUAUUUUGCAUGCACUGGAGAACAUUUGGUGAAAAUUUGAUGAAAAUCGGACUGAUCUUGAGCGCGCAGUAGCGAUUUUCCGAAAAACGCCAAAAAGGGUGUCCUGUAACCUUAAGUUUCGUGUUUCAAACGUGUUGUUGACUAAAACCUCUAUCAACAACCGUUUUUAUUUACACUUAUUAAGUUUCGUGUUUCAAAUGUGUUCUUGAGCUAAGGUAUGCACUGCAUAAAGUCUAACAAUAUUGCAAUAUUCAAAACAUGUUCAUAAGUUCGAUCACAACGAAGGUUUCUUUUGCGAGAGUUCCCAUGUUCUGCUUCUUCAUUCUUCUGUAGCAUGGUUUUAAAUCUCAUGUCUUGUCAACUCUCAGGCUUGCAAACUUCAUCCACAGGGCCAGCAUCCCCAAAUUUCGCCGACUGUAUAAUACUUUUACUUCAUGUAUGCCCAUCACGAGAGACACUUACGAUGUUUCGCUGCAGUUUGAAACUUGUUUUGGAAGAGAUAAUCACAACUCAACUGUCACAUAAUGGCAAUGUCAAGGAAGUCGUGUCUUGGAAAGACAAUUCCACGGGAUAAAGGAAGAUAACAAAUGACUGACAUAUAACUGAGGAAAUAUCAACCUCAAAUGAACAAUUUUUGACAUUGGUUGACUUGAACAAAUGCAUGUGAUCAGCAUUUCUGAUUCUUUCUUUAGAAAAUCUAUUCUUUAAAGCCUUGUCCUAACUGCGACGCAAACAAAUUAAAGCAUAAGAGUUAAGGAUCAAACGUAUCGACUUCUUAUGCGUUCUUUUCGCUUAUGUUGUUGUUUAUGCUUGCGCUUUAUCUUGCGUUGUAUCGAGGACAUAGUGAAAACACAAGCAUAAGAACAU